UGCAUGUCUAAGUACAUGCCGUAUUAAGGCGAAACCGCGAAUGGCUCAUUAAAUCAGUCAUGGUUCCUUGGAUCGUACCUUACUACUUGGAUAACUGUGGCAAUUCUAGAGCUAAUACAUGCAGCAGAGCUCCGACCUUCGGGGACGAGCGCUUUUAUUAGACCAAAACCAAUCGGACCUCGUGUCCGUCUCUUGUGGUGACUCUGUAUAACUUUGGGCUGAUCGCACGGGCCUGUCCCGGCGACGUAUCUUUCAAGUGUCUGCCUUAUCAACUUUCGAUGGUAGGUUACGCGCCUACCAUGGUCGUAACGGGUAACGGGGAAUCAGGGUUCGAUUCCGGAGAGGGAGCCUGAGAAACGGCUACCACAUCCAAGGAAGGCAGCAGGCGCGCAAAUUACCCACUCCCAGAACGGGGAGGUAGUGACGAAAAAUAACAAUACGGGACUCUUUUGAGACCCCGUAAUUGGAAUGAGUACACUCUAAAUCCUUUAACGAGGAUCCAUUGGAGGGUAAGUCUGGUGCCAGCAACCGCGGUAAUUCCAGCUCCAAUAGCGUAUAUUAAAGUUGUUGCGGUUAAAAAGCUCGUAGUUGGAUCUCAGUUCCAGACGGGUGGUCCGCCUACCGGUGGUUACUGCCUGUUCUGACCAGUCAGCCGGUUUCUCUUGAUGAUCUUCACCGGUUGUCUUGGGUGACCGGCAAGUUUACUUUGAAAAAAUUAGAGUGCUCAAAGCAGGCGUGACGCCUGAAUAAUGGUGCAUGGAAUAAUGGAAUAGGACCUCGGUUCUAUUUUGUUGGUUUUCGGAACACGAGGUAAUGAUUAAGAGGGACAGACGGGGGCAUUCGUAUUGCGACGCUAGAGGUGAAA
rnacentral:rRNA from 1 species